GCCCUCGUAUCGGCUCCGCCUUCUAAGCGGUUGCGCCGUAGAGGAUGACGCCAGUUCGAAUCUGGCCGAGGGCUCCA
rnacentral:tRNA from 1 species